UACGAAGGGGGCUAGCGUUGUUCGGAAUUACUGGGCGUAAAGCGCGCGUAGGCGGCUUUGUAAGUUAGAGGUGAAAGCCCGAAGCUCAACUUCGGAAUUGCCUUUAAGACUGCAUCGCUAGAAUCAUGGAGAGGUUAGUGGAAUUCCGAGUGUAGAGGUGAAAUUCGUAGAUAUUCGGAAGAACACCAGUGGCGAAGGCGACUAACUGGACAUGUAUUGACGCUGAGGUGCGAAAGCGUGGGGAGCAAACAGG
rnacentral:rRNA from 1 species